UACGUAGGUGGCAAGCGUUGUCCGGAAUUAUUGGGCGUAAAGCGCGCGCAGGUGGUUCCUUAAGUCUGAUGUGAAAGCCCACGGCUCAACCGUGGAGGGUCAUUGGAAACUGGGGAACUUGAGUGCAGAAGAGGAAAGUGGAAUUCCAAGUGUAGCGGUGAAAUGCGUAGAGAUUUGGAGGAACACCAGUGGCGAAGGCGACUUUCUGGUCUGUAACUGACACUGAGGCGCGAAAAGCGUGGGGAGCAAACAGGG
rnacentral:rRNA from 1 species